GCCCGGUGGCCUUGCUGGGGGGCAGAGAUGGGGGGCAGCGGGCCCGGCGGCGAGCCGGCAGAGCUGCUCAGGCGUGAUUGUGUGCAGAGCGACUCCCCGAUUCAGCGAGGAACAUAAUCUUUACUGGGCUUUGAGAUUAAAUCAUUCUGGGAUGGGGAUGCUGUCACUGAAAAAGCGCCUGCUAUAAACUACAUUUGACAGCCCUGUAAUCUGCAGCAGACAGU